rnacentral:rRNA from 1 species
AUUGAACGCUGGCGGCAGGCCUAACACAUGCAAGUCGAACGAGUGGCGGACGGGUGAGUAAUGUCUGGGAAACUGCCUGAUGGAGGGGGAUAACUACUGGAAACGGUAGCUAAUACCGCAUACCAUCAGAUGUGCCCAGAUGGGAUUAGCUAGUGGGGGGGGUAAAGGCUCACCAAGGCGACGAUCCCUAGCUGGUCUGAGAGGAUGAACAGCCACACUGGAACUGAGACACGGUCCAGACUCCUACGGGAGGCAGCAGUGGGUAAUAUUGCACAAUGGGCGCAAGCCUGAUGCAGCCAUGCCGCGUGUAUGAAGAAGGCCUUCGGGUUGUAAAGUACUUUCAGCGGGGAGGCGUUACCCGCAGAAGAAGCACCGGCUAACUCCGUGCCAGCCGCCGCGGUAAUUC